rnacentral:lncRNA from 1 species
UCAGUCUUAUACAGUCAAAUAUCUUGCGAUAGUUUUGCUUCAUAAACAUUUUCGGUGUAAUCGGCACAUCAUGCCGAAACAAGGCGAGUCGCGUGCUUCGCCGCCUCAGAAUCACGUCCUUGAUAAGUCGCCUGUCCUUAAACAGCCGACCGGCCAUGAUUCCAAUAAUCGGUGUACACCUUUUGCGAGCCGUCAUUGCACUUGCAACCGUCGCCUGUGUUCGGUACGCAACUGUCACACGUGUGACGCAAUAGACGUGCCUCACUGGACUGAGUUUCUCCAAAAGAGUAUGUUGGUGAGAAAUCGAGCAUCAUUGGAUCCUCACAAAAAGCCUGCCUCGUAUCCCUGGCACUACAAAGCGGUGUAACAUCAUAAUCCAACUACGCUGGGCUGCUCAUUAACGGGUGAGCUGCGGGUGUCACACAGAGACCUGCUCCUGUUAAAUUGCGUUUCCUGAUCGCCUUAAUCAGGAAACGCAACUUAACUGCUGGAUAGAAUGAGCUCAGGCUUUGCUUAGGUGUUGCACGCCCACGUCUGCAGGAGGGUAGGAUUCGGGCUGGAAUUAGGGAAGAGCUCUGUCGCAGAAUUAGCCUGGAUUUUAUUCCUGACAAAAGAAUUGGUCUGCCGAGGUCUGGAAUUGUUCUGGCGGACCCGCCGGAGGUAUUCGAAUUGCGCUGUGGAGCCUCGGAAUUGGGCUGUGCUGCGCCUGAAUUGGCCUGUCCGGGUGUCGAAUUGGCCUGUCCGGGUGCCGAAUUGGCCUAACAGGGUAUUGAAUUAGCCUGACAGGGUAUCGAAUUGACCUGUUCGGGGUGUCAAAUUGGCCUGACAGGGUAUCGAAUUAGCCUGACAGGGUGUCGAAUUGGCUGUCAAGUUGGCAGAAAGGCCUUUCAUUCAGUAUAAAAACGCCUCCUUUCGAGUGCUUUUGAUUCCUAGGGGUGCUACUGUAGUAGCUGGUACACAGUAGGGCUCGAUACAUUGUGCCGGGCCACACUACUGCAGGGCAGGCGCGUGUGCUUACAUUUCUUUGUCUGCGUGAAUGAUUGGAUGUAUGAAUGAAUGGACGAAUGAAAGGUGUGGUUAACAUGCCCUGGUUUGGUUCGGUUCGGGUGGUGGUAUCUUUUUGAACACAUGUAGUCUGGUUGAGUGCCGGGGGCCCUUAGCAGGACUGAAGCACAGUUCAAGACGAGGCGUGUGGAUAUGUCUGCUUGUCUGAACGAAGGAAUGAAUGAAUGAAUAGACCGGGUGUUAAAAUUGUGAGCGACUUGCCAUGCAGACACACCUUUGGUUUUGGUCGGUUCGGGUGAUGGUAACUUUUCACACAUACACACACAAUGAAUGUAUGGGUGAAUGAGUACGGAGUACGGUAACAAG